AUGUUCGACUCGGGGGUUCUCGUGCCGUUCAAACUUCACUAUGAGGAGACGAAGGAGCUUUCCUCCGGCGACAUCGUCCACUCCGAGGUCGCCCACGCCGGGGGACACCGCGGGAGGAUUCGAUGCGACCCGCAGGGAAAGAAGAAGGCUGACAAGCAGGGCGAGUACAUCUCGAUCUUUCUCGAACUCAUGAGCAAGUGCAAAGGCGUCAAGGCCAUCUUCGAGGCCUUCGUGGUGGACAAGGACGGCGAGCCGUUUUCUUCCCAUGAAGAGCGGUGCGUGCAGGUUUACCCGCCGGAGGGGUUCGAAGCCUGGGGGUGGCCACAGUUCGCGAAGCGAAGCGAUCUCGAGUCUCAGUACGUGGUGAACGGGUGGGUCACGAUUGUGUGGGGAGUUGUAGUCGUGCGCGAUGACUCCAUAGCCGUGCCGUCCUCUGACAUAGAGAACCAUCUUGGCCGCCUCGUCGACUGCGGCGACGGUUCUGAUGUUUCCUUCGUCGUCGACGGCGAGACGUUUCCGGCGCACCGGGCCGUGCUCGCUGCCCGCUCGUCGGUAUUCAAGGCGGAGCUUUUCGGCUCCAUGGCGGAGUCCACGAUGUCGCGCGUCACAUUGGAAGACAUCGACGCCGCAACGUUUAAAGUAUUUCUUCGGUUCGUCUACACCGACGCCUUGUCCGGAGAUGACGAGCUCGACGACUCGGCUACUGAGAUGUAUGAGCGUCUGCUUGCCGUGGCCGACAGGUACGCCAUGGAUAGGUUAAAGCUCAUUUGCGCCAAAAAGCUGUGGGAUGGUGUGACUGUCGACAACGUUGCUGCAACUUUAUGUUGUGCUGAAACGUACAGCUGCUUGGAGCUGAAAAACAAGUGCAUUGCUUUCUUCGCGGAGGAGAAAAACUUCAGGGAGGCCGUGCUAACAGAUGGUUUCGUGGGGCUGGUUCAGAAGUUCCCAUCUAUUAUUUGUGAGCUUUUUUUUUAG
rnacentral:rRNA from 1 species